CUGUUGCCCACCUCACAACUCUUACAGCAGCAGCCACCUGCAGGCAAGACAGCAGGGGACAACAGAGGGAGGCAGUAGGUACACAAAAUGGAGGCAGAGACAACAUGGCUGACAGAGAUUUAAAGUUAUCAUAUAUAAACAGUGGAAUCCAAGUGAACUUAAGAAUUAGAGCUUCAGACAAAGUAAUCAGUGGGAUCAAGCCCAUGAAUAUGGCAACUAGCUGGAGUUCCUUGGAGGAAUGAAUGAAAGGUAAUUUUCUAGUUUACAAGGAACUGCAAUCUACCUGUUCUCUCAAGAGAAAAAGAAAUACUUAUCCAAGGAUUCCAUAGUGCAGUGCACUCAGAGAGACACAAUAUACACAAAAAAAGAUUAUGAAUUUAUUAAACUCCAAACCAGUUCUAGAAAUUCUGGAGAAAAUCGGUUCUGUGGUUCCAGAUCAU